rnacentral:tRNA from 1 species
GUGGAUAUAGCUCAGUGGUAGAGUGCAUGCUUAGUAUGCACGAGGUUGUGGGUUCAAACCCCCAUACCUCCA